GGGGUGUGCUCAGAGCAGGGGGCCUGAAGAAUGCUUCCUCUGUUUACAAUACACCGAACAGGAAUCUGGGGUCAUUGUCACGAGGGGCACAAAACUUGUGACCUCUCUAUGAAGAAAUGCCCCACAUGC
rnacentral:snoRNA from 1 species